AGAGCGAGAGAGCUGCUCUUGGGCUUGGGAUCCAAAGCGGAUGGAUGUAGGGGAAGGAUCUCUGGGACCAACUCUCACCUAGUGCCAGGCACAUGGCCAGAGGUCUCCUCCUCUCUGUGGGUCUCCUCCUCUCUGCUCAGAGUGCAAGGCCACGACUGGAGGCACCAGCACCCAUCCCCCUCCUGCUGCCCCUGCCUCUGAUUGAUGUUGCAGCAUCUUCCCAUCGACAAACACCUGUAUCCUCCUCCAGCUACGGGGCUCCAGGCGAGGGGCCGCAUCCCGCUGCCAACUGCUCCUGCUCAGCUCAUGCUGAAUCCUGGGGAGGAUCCAUCGAUCUCAACGAUGUCCAAUGGAGCAGCUGGAGCUCGGCUGGAGCACCUUCUGCAGGUUGCUGGGCACCGCUGAGGUAAAGCUAAAAACUGCAGUCUGGAGAUCAAGGUGGAGGAGAAGUUUUAAAGCUGAGAAAGAAGAAGUGAUGCUCCUGGAAAGCUGCAUUCUUCCUAAUUGUCCAGUGGAGACAAAGCAAAGCGCUGGCACAGCGUGGGGAUUUUCCCAUCUACUUCAAAGCAGAUUUAAUGAAAUUCCUUUUUUUUUUUUUUUUUUUUUUUAGUGGAAGACACACUGGAAGCAUUUCCACAGUAUUUGCAAAGCCUCUGCACAUCUGGGAGGGCUGGUGCAAAAAGACAAGUGAGCACCAGGGGGCCUUCCCAGUGCACUGCCCCACGACUGCAGCACUUGGGGCUGCAAUGGGCUCAAACGUUCCCAUGGGCACAGCGAAAACACGGGAAGUAAACCCCUUCCCCAGUAAUAACAACAAUAGUAACAACAAAUGAAGAAGCCUUCCCACAGCUGUAGGUAUUUCAUCCUGCCAAAUGCUGAGCACCUGGGGCACAGCUCCAUCUCAGCCAUAUAACCCUCAGCAGGGACAUAGCUCUCCUUUAGCUGAGUUCUCUGAGAGGAAGGUGGCAUUGCAGGGGAUGCCAGCACUCAGUGCUGUCUUUCCUUUAAGUGCUGCUGACUGCAGGAUGUAGGGCUCUUGGGGAGAUUCUGCUCUCAAAGGUGAGGUCAGGUGUGGGAGGUGCUGGGCAGUGUUCAGGUGAUGUAUGGCUUUGUAUGGGGUCAAGGCAGAGCUGGGGCUGCUUAGUGCUCAGGCUCCUGCCUGCCCUCAAACUCCUGAUGUCCUGAACUCUGCUUCACACUGAGACAAACCUUGUUCUUGGGUAGGAAAUGCUGUGCUGUACCUGGAGCAUGUGAUGCUCACAUCUCCUCCCUGUCUGGUGCAGCAGGCAGAGGACAGGGAGCAGGUUAGCAGCCCACUUUGUGUCUGUUAUCCCGGUCCCUGAAAGGGCUGUAGAUGAACUAAGUGAGGGGCUGAGUAAAUAAAGGAUUGACCUUUCACCCUUGGGGGCCA
rnacentral:lncRNA from 1 species